UGGUUAGAGGAGGCAGGUAGCCUAGUGGUUAGAGGAGGCAGGUAGCCUUGUGGUUAGAGGAGGCAGGUAGCCUAGUGGUUAGAGGAGGCAGGUAGCCUUGUGGUUAGAGGAGGCAGGUAGCCUAGUGGUUAGAGGAGGCAGGUAGCCUAGUGGUUAGAGGAGGCAGGUAGCCUAGUGGUUAGAGGAGACAGGUAGCCUAGUGGUUAGAGGAGGCAGGUAGCCUAGUGGUUAGAGGAGGCAGGUAGCCUAGUGGUUAGAGGAGGCAGGUAGUCUAGUGGUUAGAGGAGGCAGGUAGCCUAGUGGUUAGAGGAGGCAGGUAGCCUAGUGGUUAGAGGAGACAGGUAGCCUAGUGGUUAGAGGAGACAGGUAGCCUAGUGGUUAGAGGAGACAGGUAGCCUAGUGGUUAGAGGAGACAGGUAGCCUAGUGGUUAGAGGAGGCAGGUAGCCUAGUGGUUAGAGGAGGCAGGUAGCCUAGUGGUUAGAGGAGGCAGGUAGCCUAGUGGUUAGAGGAGGCAGGUAGCCUAGUGGUUAGAGGAGGCAGGUAGCCUAGUGGUUAGAGGAGGCAGGUAGCC